GUGAAGCGGCAAAAGCUCAAAUUUGAAAUCCUUCGGGAAUUGUAUUUUGAAGGUGGGUUUGGUUAGGAAAAGUUACUUUAAGUCCAUUGGAAAAUGGCGCCAUGGAGGGUGAUAGCCCCGUAAAAGUAUCCCUUUUCCUUUUAUCCAUUCCCUCCAAAGAGUCGAGUUGUUUGGGAAUGCAGCUCUAAGUGGGUGGUAAAUUCCAUCUAAAGCUAAAUAUUGGCGAGAGACCGAUAGCGAACAAGUACAGUGAUGGAAAGAUGAAAAGCACUUUGAAAAGAGAGUGAAAAAGUACGUGAAAUUGUUGAAAGGGAAGGGCUUGCAAGCAGACACAACCUCGGUUGGGCCAGCAUCGGAGUGGGGGGAGACAAAAAAGAAAAGGAAUGUAACUCAUU
rnacentral:rRNA from 1 species